GACGAACGCUGGCGGCGUGCUUAACACAUGCAAGUCGAGCGGUAAGGCCCUUUCGGGGGUACACGAGCGGCGAACGGGUGAGUAACACGUGGGUGACCUGCCCUCAGCUCUGGGAUAAGCCUGGGAAACUGGGUCUAAUACCGGAUAUGACCCCAUGACGCAUGUCGUGGGGUGGAAAGCCUUGUGCGGCUGAGGAUGGGCCCGCGGCCUAUCAGCUUGUUGGUGGGGUGAUGGCCUACCAAGGCGACGACGGGUAGCCGGCCUGAGAGGGCGACCGGCCACACUGGGACUGAGACACGGCCCAGACUCCUACGGGAGGCAGCAGUGGGGAAUCUUGCGCAAUGGGCGAAAGCCUGACGCAGCGACGCCGCGUGAGGGAUGACGGCCUGGUGUAAC
rnacentral:rRNA from 1 species